rnacentral:rRNA from 1 species
CCUACGGGAGGCAGCAGUGGGGAAUAUUGCACAAUGGGGGAAACCCUGAUGCAGCGACGCCGCGUGAGCGAAGAAGUAUUUCGGUAUGUAAAGCUCUAUCAGCAGGGAAGAAAAUGACGGUACCUGAGUCAGAAGCUCCGUCUAAAUACGUGCCAGCAGCCGCGGUAAUACGUAUGGAGCAAGCGUUAUACGGAUUUACUGGGCGUAAAGGGCGCGUAGGCGGCCUGCCAAGUCUGAUGUGAAAUACCGGGGGCCAACCCCGGGGCUGCAUUGGAAACUGGCAGGCUGGAGUGCCGGAGAGGCAGGCGGAAUGCCUAGGGUAGCGGUGAAAUGCGUAGAUAUUAGGAGGAACACCAGUGGCGAAGGCGGCCUGCUGGACGGUGACUGACGCUGAGGCUCGAAAGCGUGGGGAGCAAACAGGAUUAGAUACCCCUGUAGUC